rnacentral:lncRNA from 1 species
GUUCUAUGCUUACAUAUAUCCUAAACUCGAUCUUGUGAACAUGAAGACUGACUUCCUCAACAGAAACGGCAAUAGUUAUGUGCAUUUCCUUUAUUUUGCUAAUAAAAAAAAACACAAAUAUCGAUUGUUUUAUUCUUAGAGUACAGCCACAUCUAUGAGCUCUUAAGUUGCUGGUUGUAGAGGGUGAGGAAACAUUGUAAAUCAGUAAAACAUAUGUUUUACUGCUUUGUUAUAAAACAUGAUCAUGCUGAUCUUCCAUGCAUGUUGAUUUCCUUUUCACCUUGAUUACAAAGCUCUUUUUCCCUGUAACAUGCAUGGUUGGUCCUUUUUUUCAUCCUUUAAAGUUUUAGAAAGAUGUCAACAUCUGCCUUAAGUCAGUAACAAACAUAAAAGUAGGCAGUAGAGAUCUAGUCUGAACUGUAAACCAUGUGGACGUUGGCCCACAUUCAUGAUUUGUUUUUUUUCCCGAGUAGUAAAACGAUGCCCUAAUGGAUGAGACUAUGUUAUCUUGAUUCUUACAUUAUUAUCUUGAUUCUUACAUUAUGUACCAUUAAUCUUUGUGGAUAGUUUGGAAAAAGUAUUGGAUGUAGUAAGACCUUGUUCUGCUUAGCUUAACAGAGUUCCUUGCUUUUUGUCUUAACCAGAUUUCUGCAAUGUCGUUUGGUCUUUUUCUAUUCACUGACCAUUUCUAGUUUUUUUUUUUUUAUAAACUAUCCUAUCAUAAGAAAUAUGUCUUCAUUCUUAUAAGAACAUGUUAUAAUUUGAUGUUUUCAGGAAGACAGGAGAUAGCUCGUUAGCUAAAGUUCUUGAGGAGAAAGGCUAUACCGCAAUUUCUGCUGCAUAGCAUACAGUACUCUCUGUCAAUAUUAUUUGUUUGAUUCUAGUCAAAACUCACUUUAGCUCGGUUCUUCAGCCUCUACUCCACAGUGUUUUACAUUGUUAAUUGGAAAGGACUUGAUGCUCAAAAAUCUCUGAAGUCAAUCGAUCAUGGUUCCACCAUUAAAGGAGCAUAAAGCCUUGGCCCUAAGGUGCUAGGCUGCUAGCAAUGGUGCCUAAAAGGUUAUUGUUUCUUAUUUAACCUCUUGCCUUGGCAUGUAAAUUUGAGUUCCCCCCCUUUUUUUCUCCCUCCCUUGUGAACGAGGAAGUGUCUCGAAAUUAACCGAUUGAUGUGCAAGUAUACACAACCGUUAAUAAGUAAUAAAGUAGUAAGUGAGAGUUGUCAUCUCCACUGGAAUUGUUUAUGCAAAUCAAGUAUUGCGAAAUUAAUUACUCAGCAAAUUGUUUGGUGAUGAAAAUAAA